AUCGCUUCUCGGCCUUUAGGCUAAGAUCAUGUGUAGUAUCUGUUCUUUUCAGCUCGAUACUCACUGAUCUUAUGAUCAGGGGAUCGGUUUCGGUCACUUAGGUACAUUCUUUUAUGUAUCGAGUCUAAAUGGAGCUCCAGCGACUUCGAAGUCUCCAUGUGGUGUUGAUGUCAGAGGAGAGCGAGGU